CCUACGGGAGGCAGCAGUGGGGAAUAUUGGACAAUGGGCGCAAGCCUGAUCCAGCCAUGCCGCGUGUGUGAAGAAGGCCUUUUGGUUGUAAAGCACUUUAAGCGAGGAGGAGGCUACUUUAGUUAAUACCUAGAGAUAGUGGACGUUACUCGCAGAAUAAGCACCGGCUAACUCUGUGCCAGCAGCCGCGGUAAU
rnacentral:rRNA from 1 species